GCCUACGGGGGGCAGCAGUGAGGAAUAUUGGUCAAUGGGCGCAAGCCUGAACCAGCCAAGUCGCGUGAGGGAUGACGGUCCUAUGGAUUGUAAACCUCUUUUGUCGGGGAGCAAGGCCCGCCACGUGUGGCGGGAAGGAGAGUACCCGAAGAAAAAGCAUCGGCUAACUCCGUGCCAGCAGCCGCGGUAAUACGGAGGAUGCGAGCGUUAUCCGGAUUUAUUGGGUUUAAAGGGAGCGUAGAUGGGUUGUUAAGUCAGUUGUGAAAGUUUGCGGCUCAACCGUAAAAUUGCAAUUGAUACUGGCA
rnacentral:rRNA from 1 species